rnacentral:rRNA from 1 species
UGCUAGUCGCACGGGUUAGACCCGUGGCGGAAAGCUCAGUAACACGUGGCCAAACUACCCUGUGGACGAGGACAACCUCGGGAAACUGAGGCUAAUCCUCGAUACGGCUUCCCACCUGGAGUGGGGGAAGCCGGAAAUGCCCCGGCGCCACAGGAUGUGGCUGCGGCCGAUUAGGUAGACGGUGGGGUAACGGCCCACCGUGCCAGUAAUCGGUACGGGUGAUGAGAGUCAGCGCCCGGAGACGGUAUCUGAGACAAGAUACCGGGCCCUACGGGGCGCAGCAGGCGCGCAACCUCUACACUGCACGCGAGUGCGAUAGGGGGACUCCGAGUGCGAGGGCAUAUAGUCCUCGCUUUUCUGGACCGUAAGGAGGUCCAAGAAUAAGGGCUGGGCAAGACCGGUGCCAGCCGCCGCGGUAAUACCGGCAGCCCGAGUGAUGGCCGCGAUUAUUGGGCCUAAAGCGUUCGUAGCCUGCCGGACAAGUCCGUUGGGAAAUCCACGCGCUCAACGCGUGGGCGUCCAGCGGAAACUGUCCGGCUUGGGGCCGGAAGACUCGAGGGGUACGUCCGGGGUAGGAGUGAAAUCCCGUAAUCCUGGACGGACCGCCGGUAGCGAAAGCGCCUCGAGAGGACGGACCCGACGGUGAGGAACGAAAGCCAGGGUCUCGAACCGGAUUAGAUACCCGGGUAGUCCUGGCCGUAAACGAUGCUCGCUAGG